GCCGGGUUAGCUCAGUGGUAGAGCGACGCUUUCGUAAAGCGUAGGUCCAGGGUUCAAAUCCCUGACUCGGCU
rnacentral:tRNA from 1 species